GGACUUCAAGGAUUGUGGAUUUGUGGUGACGUUGGAAGGGGUAAAUUUUGUCUUCUUCUUCAGAAUAGAACGCAAACAAUGGAAGAUUCAGAUUUCCUCAUUCUAAGGUCCCCUUUUGUUUUGCUACUUUGUGCGUUCAGAGUUUUCAAGGGUCUCUUCGGCGCAGCCGUCGUCAUCUUCGCAUUCAGUCGCUGUAGUAGGUAUAUAUAAAAACUUUGGAAUCAAGAAAGCCAAGUAAAGAUGGUUAACAACAAUGUUAGGUGUUUUUGUGAACUGGCCAUCCACAACAAACUAGGGAAAUGAUUAUUAUAUAUCUUUUAAUGCAGACACAUGGAUGAUCCAUCCGCUCCUUCACUAAGUGAGAAUGAUAUUCAGCCUACAAAAAAGAGGUGUAGAUGUGGCACACGAAUGAAACAGAUGAGUUUACGUUACAAUGGUGUAAAGACACCAGUUGAUUUCGAUCAAAGUAAUAUUGUUCCUAACAACUUCAGAAUUUGGAAGAAAAAAAAAUGAGGCAGAUUCUUGUGACAGAGUGCCUUAGCGGUAAAAUUUCAAUGUUGAAUCUUUCCAGGUUUUCAUUGGGGUGACAGGGUUAGUGCAAGCUUGAUCAUGUUAUGUUAAUCAAAGUCCUUGUAGAAUGAGGUGAAGUUGACUAGUAACUAAAUGUUUUUGAGACCUGCGUGUGAUUAUGUUUUUGAGAGUUUUCAAUACUGUGUAGUGGGGCAGUGCCUUUUGUUAGUGAGGAGGCGGUAAGUUUGUUGGCUUGUGGUGGAUUUAGUUUCUAUUCUUUUGCUGAUAUUUUGUUAGUGGCCUUGAGUUUCUCUUCCCUGCAAUAUUAUGCAGGUUGUAACUUUUUAUCUAGUGAGUUCUUGUACUCAUAGAAUAAUUAUCUAAUAUAUUAGGUAGAAAUUGUAGAGUGAUACAUGAUACUAUUGUAAUUAGUUAUGGUCUUUCAGAUUUUGAAGUCUGAAGGAGAGAAUAAUUUGUCCUGCAUUCACUUACAAGUAAUUUAAUACAUCAAUGCUAUUUAUGUUCUCCUGUGUAAA